GCCACAGGAGGGAGAAAAACAAACAGGAAAGAAUUAAAAGGGUUGGGAUAGGGCUGCAAAGCAACAGGCAUAAAUCACGCAGCUCUUCCCUCCCUGAGCUCCCUUGCAGCCAGCACAUGCACAACACCUCCCUUCUGGAUGAGGCUUUGGCAUGAGAGGCAGAUCCCAUGAAUGCUCCAUCGCGUUACCACAGCAGAGCAGCGCUUGGCAAGCUGAUGCAGGAUACUCCCUCAAGAAAACUUUGAAGGAACAGUGCUGCACGGCUGAACUAGGCAAUUACAAAUAUACCAGACACAGGGCUGAGACCCACCUCACUUCUGUUCUGCUGGAGUUCAUAGAAUCACCAAGGUUGGGAAAGGCCCACAGGAUCACCCAGUCCAACCAUCACCAACAGUUCUCAAGAGUUGCAGCACAGUGAAUCACUCCAACCUUCCCUCAAGGAGGGACAGCACAAUAGGAUCAGCCUCUUCUGCACUGCUCUGAAAUCACAAUUCAGAAAAUGGACAAAGUGGAUAAUAAAUUACUCUUCUUAUGCCAGGUAUUUUCCAUUUUGUGUUUUAACCGUUGUUGGUUCUUGGCACUGUUAAACUGUUAAUGGUAAAUUCAAAAGGAAUUGAGGACCUGGCUUCCUGGAUCGUAGUUUUUGGCUUUCCUGCACAAUAGGAUGAAGCCUGAAAGUCCCUUUUGUUACAUGCAGGUACCCAACUCUACUUCGUUACCAAUUAUCCUUCCUCAGUCUCUCCAUCCCUGUAUUACAUAAGGGUUCAGGUGAGACUCCUAAGAUAUCUGACUGCUUUAGCAUGUUUGGUUUUAUGUCUUUGUUACUUUAUAUCUCUCUUUGGCAGUUACAUCUACCUACAUAAUUGCUCUCAUUAAAAGGCUUAGUCAUGGUCUGAAGUAAGUGUAACCCACUGUUAUCUGUGCACUUAAGCAAAUUUCAGCACAGAAAAUUGGGGUAUCAUCUAAAUAUCAGACUACAGGAAGAUAAAACAAUCUAUACUGAAAAUCCAGAAUAAAAAGAAAUAACAGGCUUUGAAGCAGGCCUACCACCGAUUUCAGCUAUCCCCAAAACUGUACCAGGAAGGUUUUAAAUGGGUUUAAACCUCAGAUUUUUCACCUUUGGAAUUCCAGCCCUGUGACUGGUACGUGUGAGCUGAAAGGAGCACAGUCUGCACAGCGCAGUGCUGCAGGAGUGGCAGUUCUCUGAAACUGGAACCAGUCUUGGAAUUACAGUGGUGCUUCUUUUUCCAGGGAAAGGAAGGGAGUGGAAAUGGAAAAACAUCAGUGAGAAAAACCAAACAGGGCCCAAAAUUCAGAGCUGAGGAAGUCUGCAAUGGAGAAUCUAGUUGAGACAGCUGUGCUGAGGCUGACCUAACCUGGGGCUGACCAAGCAAGUUCCAUGAUGUCAUAUUUUGCUAUGAUGGGCCAUUAAAUUAAGUCGCUGGUCCAGACCUUCCUCCUGACACCUAUUAAAUCUACAGCUUUGGAGCUGGAGUUGUCAAGGUAGCACUGCAUCAGAUACCAGGGGAAUCCACGCACACUGUUACAGAAGAUUGCUGCUUGCAUAAAACCUCUUUGCUCUUUUCUUGAUUGUAUAUUCAGGAUAUAUUUUGCAGGCAUAGUCUACGAUUAGAUUAAACAAGCAAAGGAAUUAUUUAUUGCCUGUCCCACUGCACCUACUGCUUAACACCAGAUGAAACUAAAACAAUGGCUUCUGAGCUUGGGUCAAUAGUCUUCCUCUAUAGUCUACCCUCAAUUUCAAAAGCAUAGAGAAAAAAUGGUUAAUUCUACGGUGCCUGCGUUACAAAAAGGAGGAUUCAUUCAUAUUUACAGCAGCCACAAGAACUUCCAAAUAUAUAUUUUUCCAACCUGAAGGGUUUCAGUGACUUGUUCUACAUUUCCAUAGUAGACAAUAGAUCUCACAUAGCACUGUGAUCCAAUCUGCUUUUCUUUGCAGCAGGUAAUUGUAGGACGUUUUUAGGGAUACCUGUAACCUCACAACAUUGCCCUGCCUACUUCAAAAGAAGCUGUCAUCAAAAAGUAUUACCAGUCAAAAGAGUCAGUGAUACAAUUAUCUUUUUAAACAAACCCAGAAUAGUGGAUCAAACGCACACUACUUUUGAUUAUCCUCAGUCAAGUUUUCUUUAGGGGAUUCUCUGAGCAUCUCCUUCCCCUCAUUCGAAUUAUCAAACUCUCAUUUCUAGACCUCAGAGAACACCUACACGCUCCCUUCUGCUUCCUUCUUCCCACAACCUGAAGUUAAAUGUGGAGCACUUCCUCUGCCACCACUCUUGAAGCCUCAGUGGCCCACCCAACAAUGCCACUCUGUGGCUGGACAGGUAGAGAGAUGUUCUUGCAAUACUCAUUCCUCUUGACAAAUAUCAAUUAUUGUGACCAGGUCUUUUAACAAAAUAAAUACUGACUAGCAGCUAAGAGACUGGCUACUGGCUGCUUCUCACCUCCACCAGGAGCCCUGAAGUGCAGGACAGAAUCCAGGAAAGAUUUUCUGGAAAAUGAAGAGACCCAAUAAAGCCUCUAAGCCCAGGCAAGUCAAUAAACUGUCACAGUUGCCCGGAAGGAAUUGGCUCGUCUUAGAUAAACUCACAAAGGCCCUGAAAAAACACAACUUUUUUUUUUUAAAUGGCAGAGAUUAAUUUUCUGACUUCAAAGUAGUAUUAAUGCAGAACUUGGCUAAGGUUUCCUGUGCAAGCAGUUUCCCCCCGAGCAAUGAUUUCAGAAUCCGCCUUGUUUUAAGGCUGGCAUUUGCUGCAGCUGCAGACCUGGAGUAUUUUCGAUCCCCUCUGAGUGCUGGAACACUAUCCAACAAUUAAACCACAACCCAAAAACAAUCAAACAUCUGUUUGGAGGAAGGCUGCUCAGUGACUGACAUUCUCAUGCCAGCAUAAACACGAAAGCUGCUGAGUGAUUCCUGUCUUUUGUGUAUAUAUGUAUACGUAUGCACCGCUUGUGUAUUUUUUGUUCCUGCAUGCAGAAUAUGUAAAUAUGCUUAAGAGCAUUUUUAUUGCAAUAUGUGGGUGUACUUGUAUAGCUUAUUUGUGGAAGUAUUUUCAUUGGCGUGAACACACAGAUUUGAAUGUCAGCUUGAGAUGUGGUUAUUUGUGUGCUGGAGGUGGUUUUGCAGGAGGCCAAAGCGAACGUGGAUUGGGAGUCUGCAAGCAGAUUCAAUUGAAACCAGCUACUCAUCAUGAUUUAUGAGAGUCUUUGGGACAGGAGCUGAUCACAUGUAAGGAUUCAGGCUUUCAGCUCGGAAGCUCAAGAGCUCAAUGCCAUUGAUGACCCAGGGGAGGAGCUGUGAUACAGGAUCCCAUCACUGAUUUCCACGCUGCCAUCUCAUCAUCAAGUAGUCGAAACCCUUAACCCAUGUGAGCACUUCACCAUGCUAGAGAACUCAGCUCCUCACAGAACAGAAAACAAUGACCACUUGUUAAGCAUUUGUUUGAAAGAGGAAGAAAAAGAGUAUUACAAUGAGUGAUUUCAAUCUCUGUGCUGUCAGCUGAAGGUUCCAUGCUGCCAGAAACAAACAAAUGUAUUCCCUGUUUACAAAUGAUACCAAACAUUUUUAACCUCAAAGACUUUUGUAUCUUAUGUUGGGGAUUUUUUGGCGAGUGAAAAGAAAUAACUUUAGUAUUUAAAAAGUAGCGGUAUUUGAGAAUUUCAUUUGAUUACGUUUGUUUGAUAAUACACAACUGCUCUAAAACUGACAACUUCGCUAUGAUAAAAACAAAACAGCUUGGAGGAAAUAAAACGCCAAUAAUAUUUGCAAACUACAUAAAAGCACUUAGUGGGAAAAAUGCUAUUUCACUAACAGUAAGGAAUGACAGGUUAGUUAAAAAUAGAUAAAAGCUCAUAAAACAAAAGGGAACAAAAGUCAUAUAUAUCUAUUAAUUACUAGGUAGCUAGCCUGACUGUGCUGCUGCUAGCAAAAGUGCAGCUGCAUCAUUACUGGAAAAAUGGGACAGGCUAUGUACACAAAUAGGGCUGGAGUUCAAGCAUGCCUGCCCAAAUCCUCUCUGCUACUCCAUUUAGUGCAUUCUUUCUUAUCAUUCAAAGGGCUGCAUUGAAAUGUGCUGAGCUUCACUGUGCUCUGGAUCAGGGUUAAUGCACGUCUGAAUCCUCUGAGCUGGAGAGCUACUACUUAAAGCCAGUUUUGAGCAUUAGCAGAUUAUUUAAAAAUACCUUUGGAUGAAGAUGUAACAGCUCAGAUGGUGUGCAAUAAAAAACAAUGUACAUCUAGAAAGCUGCUGAGAGCUCAAUGGUUGAACUCAUAGAACGUUUCCUUCACUUGGACUCCAUCAGCAAGCAAGCUCCUACCAGUUCAUCUCUUGCCUUCAUUUACAAAUGCAGAGGAUUUAGCUCUCAGUCUCACUUUGGAGUCUCCAUUAGGACAUCUCCCCAAGUUAUGCUUAAAUCUGGUUCUCAUUUGUUCUUCUCCUGAAAUUAUUCAGGCUACUGUCACUACAUGAUUUGUCUUCAUGACUUCCAAAGGAUGAGUGCUGAGAUGGGAUUUGGACAGAAGGAUAAUACUGAGAGGUGAAACCAGGAAGACCUACACAUUUCUCAAAGGGCCACAAUCAGAAUUCCUUAUUUCCAGAAACUGGCUUUACAUUAUUUCUUAACAGGAGAUAAAGCAAAUUCUCUUAGAAGACCAAAACUCUUCUUUUCCCCCCUGCAAAACUGCAAUCUUCCAAAAAUGCAACAACUCUUGAAAUUCUUCAGCCCAAUUCACAGAGAAAACUCAGCCUGCCCAAGACCACAACUUUUUGCCUUGCUUGCACUUUGCUCCUCUGGGCUUGAUUGCUAUGCUAAUUAAACAAGACAUUGGUCAGGUUUUAACAUAGAUAUUCUUUUUUUAUUUUGGUUUCAGCUUCUUGAAAGGUGUCCAAGAAUACCAGGCAAGGAAAUGAAAUCUGCAUCCCAAGGAAACAAUCCCUUUCCAAAAUUGUUAAUCUUUCCUUAUGACAUGUUUUGGAAUACGAAUGUAUCCAGAGGGGGUUUAUUCAGCAAUAUGCUGUGCUCAUGUAAGUGAUCAAAUUGGGGGUUUAUUGCAGUGGUACAUAUGUUAACAAUAACUCAAACUUUUACUCACCCUGCUUCACCACCACAGCUGCUCUUGGUUUUUCUUACAGCCCCACCCAGUGACACUUGGAACACAAGCAGAAACACGUAUGUAUUACAAGGAGCGAUGUUCUACAUUGUUAUUAGAGAACCGGGCUUCCUUCAGCAUGCAACAUUAUCAUAACAAACCCAUGACUACACACUUUAACUGUCACUACAUUGCCUUCCAUAUAUGCUGGGAUCAGCAGAAUUAGAAGCCAGGUCUGGUUGCUACAUAUCACUUCUGAUAAAUUUCUGCAUUACAGCAACUGAAGGCGACUACAGAGCUUUGGCUGUGCCAGAUUCAAUCCAUUCAUAGGUCUGUUCCCCCAGCACGUUUCGUGAAGCUAUUUAGGGGUCAUAUGGAAAUGAAUGCAUGAAGAAGUGAAGAAAAAAGACAUAAUAUUAAACUCUGUAAGUGACUUUUAAGUGAAGACUUUUGCAAAAAGAAAAGACGUAGCAGGUAAGAAAUACAGAGGGGUAUUCUAUGCAUCAUACGGUAUGCAAUGAGCAAUGCUGAAUUUACCAAAAGCUACCAGCAGUUUUGGUUAUUCAGGUGAAGACAACUUAUGCCAAAAAUCUCAGGCAUCUUAAUGUCUCUUGAGACAAAGAUAAAAAAGCAUUCAUAAUCAGAAGUCAGCUCUUAAAACAUACAAUUGGUUCUUAUUUUGAGAAAAGUAGUAACAAGACUUUUUUUAUUUCUUUUUAAUCAAAACAUUGCUCAGAAGCCACAAGUCUCAGAUCAAGAACCAAAUGCGGAAUGCUAAGCGCUCACUAAGAGCUGGCUUGGGCAGCAUGAGUACUACACUAAUUUCUCUUUCAUUCCCUCAGCCCAAAAGCAAAACACAUUUUGCAGCAGCAUCUCAGCUGUUUGCUGAUGACUGAAUCCCAGGCAGGUCAAGAGAAACUUCUUGAACUUCCAAUUUCCAAGAAAGCCAACGAUCCAAGUGAAGUAAGAAGAAAGAAGACAUGCCGUGAAAGACAAAAAGCCUUCUUCAAACACAGCCCUUAAAUAACAGGAUGUGCAUGAAAUCCAAACUUCCUAAUGAAAUAAUUCCAAACCCUUUUGCAAGAAAGAACAGUAUUUUGAUGAAUGGUAUUUGUGACCUUAACGAUAAGCAUUAAUCUGUGCCACUUCAAAACCUCAGAAAAAAGUAGCUGGUAAGUGAGCACCUUGCUAACGAAAACCAGAGGAUGCAUCAUCCUAAUAAUCCAUGAGGAUAACCUGAGGGUAUUUUUUAACAUGACAGAGGCUGUCUCCUUGAGAAGAAAAGGUUAAAGACAACAGAGAGGCGACAGUGACAUCCCAACUACACACCUUAGUGAUAGCACAGCAUGCGCUUCCAUCAAACUACAUGUGGGUUUCUAAAAUACUCUUUCACAAAUCAAGUAAUUUAAGUCCAAAUGAAGUUAAAAACAAACUAAAAAUUUGCAAAUGCUCUGCGUUCACAAAAACAUACCUUGGAGGUUUCACAAAACAGAAUAUUCCCCAAACGGCGCAAUUAUUCUAAUGAAUAUGCCUAUAGAAUAAGUGGCUGCUCAGUAGGAGCAACUAGUGAAGCAUAUUAUGGUGAAAAAGGUAUUUUGCAGGUAUGGCUGUAACUUCAUGAUACCAGCUAGAAAAGAUUCUGCAGGUCUACAGAAGGGCUGUAACGGUGCUCUGCCAAGUUGCUGUCCAGGCAAAUUACACACGCACCGUGUGCUGGUUGCUGGAGAUGGUCUGCUCCGCAGGAGACAGGAUGCAUUGGCAGGCAGAAGCUGAGCAAAUUCCCGUUUGCACAAACCCACAUACAAUGGGAGAGAGAUUAACUGACAGCAACAGGGCUUUUCACAAGCAGACUUCCACCUAUAAAUUAGUACUACUGCAAAAUGAUAAGUGACAGAUGACAGGUUUUUAAAUGAAAUCCAAUGGAAGAAUCUACCUGUCUUGCCCAGAUUCCUACACAUGAAAUACCCUCCUUAGCUGAAUGUGUACCUUGGUACAAUCUCUGACUGGUGUUUUGCAGGAAGUCAGGAUACUUGGGAUCAUCUGAUCUAUAGCUACAUGAGUUUCACUGCCACAUGUACUACAGCAAAAGGCAAAGCAGCGAUCAACAUACAGUGGGCAGACAACGUGGGUAGCGUCAGCUAUGGGUGCUGUGACAGAGUACAGCAAAGUAGGAACCACCCCUUGCAGUGAAGGAAUUCUGAAUAUCAGUCUGAAGUUACAAACAGAUUUUGCUGACUAAGAUAUGAAACAAGCCCAUUUUAAGUAGUUCCAGACCGAUCUGCGUAAAGCAUGCAGUCUGUCUAAUAACAUCUGAUGGGCUGCAAAAGCAGCCAAUGGCUGCAAAGGCCCAGAGUUCCACUGCUGGAUGGAAUCUUUGCAAAUGAGGAGAGCAGUGCUUAUGGUAGAGAAUUCACUAGGAGUCCAAGGGCAGCUUGUAUUGCUAGCAGCAAGGAAUAGUAAAACGGGAGUUCUGUUUGUUUGCUAGAAAGAUCUUGUAGCAAAAAAUACAUUGAAAAUUGAGAAAUAGCUUGCAGUGAUGAACUGGUAAAUGCAACCUUUUUACAGGGGAAUGCCAAAGCAGAUUUUAAACAUUUGGCAGUUUCUCAGAAGCUAGGGGAAGAUUAACUAUGUGAGGGAAAAAUCAGGCCAAGAAACUGAGAACAGCUUUUCAAAAUUAAGGAAAGCCAAGGAGGAACCAAGUCUAAAAAGCAUUUGGAAAGAAAUGUUAAGAUCAUUUCACUUAUAAGAGAUUGAUCUCAGAAUCAGAAGAGUUCUGAACUUGUGGAAGUGGGAAGGAGUCAAAGUUCAGAGGGGGAGCAGCAGAGCCCCAACCUCACAAAGACUACCAAGCAAGGACACACAGCAACCACAGCAAGCAGCAGUGCUCCCAGGGGUGCCAUGGCUAAUGUUGUCUGCAGAGAUGGCUCAUAGGAACGUCACCAAAAUGAACACCCGGCUGACAUCCCCAGCCUCCUCAAGUUUGGUAAAGCUGUGCUCCAGUUUCCAGUGCUUGAAACAGCCUCUGAACACCAGCUCUGCAGGCCUGGACGCAGCACACUGCAUCUCUGCUGCUGCAUUCGUGUUUAUGAAAGCUACAGAAUAUUCCUUUUUAUGCACUCAAAUAACUUUUAAUAUCAAUAGCACCCUGCUGCUAAGAAAUACAACUUAACGGCUGGGUAUUAUUUGUUUUGGAGUAGAAUAUUAUGUUGGGCAGUUUCCCACUGGAAUAUACCUCAGUGUUUUCAAUGUGGCUGUGCAUACCUUGCUUUUUGUAGGCUGUUACAACUGUAAAUGUAUUUUAAAAGCACAUGUACACAUACGUGAAGGAGGAAAUGAGACCAAUAGCUUUUCAAGGUACUAGCAAUAGGAUUAGUUAGAACCAUGCGCUGACUUCAAAAAAUCUCACAUAAGAAAAUCCCACAUAAAACCAGUCUGUAUCUCAAAACUUCACUGCUACCCCAAGGGGGAAGAAAAGGCACUGCAGGACGAAGUGAGAGGCAGCAGCUGUCCUCAAAGGCAAAGGACCUCAGGGGACCCAAACUAUAACGCAAACAUCACCUCUUGCAACAGAGCAGAAGGGAAAAAACUCUCCUUACACUUCAUUUGUAUCACUGUGUAUGCAUUUUUGAUUGAUUCUUAUCAAGACUAUUAUAUUCUACUUCUAGAAUAUGGCAAGUAACAGUGCAGGUAUCUGACUCAAACUACAGAACCUGACAAACAGCACAGCUGCGCCGAAAAUUACUAAGGUGAAAAGGUGGGUGAGAAAAGAGAAAAACUUAAAUAUGGUUUUAGGAGAGAAAAGCUGUUGCUGAAGUCUUUCCUACUUGAGAUGACUCCAAUAAAGCUAUUCCUUCCUUAUCAGUGAAACACAGUCAUCUACCUUGCAGAUCCUUCUCUCAUUCUUACACGCCAAGCACAAAGAUGGAAAAAUUGCAACAAAAUUCUAACUAAGGCAGCAAAAACUCUGUAUGGAAAGAACACAGAACAGAGGAUAAAUAAAGGUUGCUGGUAAAACCUGGAACUUGCUGUGUUCAGCUAAUCCUUCUAAGGAGUUUUUUCUGUGGAGUUAGAGCAGUGAUUGCACCAAUUACAGGCACACUUCUUCAUGAAAUAAAAAAGAGGGAGAAGGGAAGCGAAGCCAAAGCCUCUGAUUUUCUUCUGGCUGAUCUCAAACUGUAGGAAUUCCCCAAUCAAAAGAAUGCUCUGCUCUACCUAAGGAAAUUAUGUUGAUUAGAAUAAAAGCUCCAGAUGUUAACCCAAAACAGUUUGAAGGGGAGGGGAGAAGGCACGCGAGGUGACCCCACCCAGGGCAGGAAGCACAGUGAGAGCCUCAUACCCAACGCCUUGGGACACAGCCAGGGCUCAGCAGCUCUCACGGCUGUCCUCCUUCUCCCCCAGGCAGAUAUAGGAGCUUUUCCAGUUUAACCCCAACACUUCUUUGCAUCCUUUGACAUGCAUUCUUCAGAAAACAUAUAUAAAUCAGAAUAAAAGUUACAUUGAG
rnacentral:lncRNA from 1 species